AGAAGGAACAACCGCAGUGGCGGGGCCAGCUCUGCAGCCCUGGAGUCAGCUCCCGCAGUAGCUCCAGAGCUCUCCGUCUGCAGGGCCUGGAGGCUCCGGGGCGGG
rnacentral:pre_miRNA from 1 species